rnacentral:sRNA from 1 species
AUUCUACCCAUGUGGGGAAGGAUGAGAAGCUUCGACUAAGGUUCGAUUCGAGCGCAGCGAGAAAGCGUUGCCAACGGCAACGGCCCGAAGGGCGAAGCGCGCAGCGCUGAGU